rnacentral:rRNA from 1 species
CAAUAGCGUAUAUUAAAGUUGUUGCGGUUAAAAAGCUCGUAGUUGGAUUUCUGCCGAGGACGACCGGUCCGCCCUCUGGGUGAGUAUCUGGCUCGGCCUGGGCAUCUUCUUGGAGAACGUAGCUGCACUUGACUGUGUGGUGCGGUAUCCAGGACUUUUACUUUGAGGAAAUUAGAGUGUUUCAAGCAGGCUUACGCCUUGAAUACAUUAGCAUGGAAUAAUAAGAUAGGACCUCGGUUCUAUUUUGUUGGUUUCUAGAGCUGAGGUAAUGAUUAAUAGGGAUAGUUGGGGGCAUUCGUAUUUAACGGUCAGAGGUGAAAUUCUUGGAUUUGUUAAAGACGGACUACUGCGAAAGCAUUUGCCAAGGAUGUUUUCAUUNA